CAGAACUCAGCCAAGCAGCUUCCUAUCCUACUGAAUCUGAGGCAAGAAAUGCUAGUUGAUACCUCUGUAUUUUGGUAAUUUGUUAUGCAACAUUCCAUGACCAGAGCCUGAGACUAACAAGCAGUUCAAGAAACCCCAAGAGAUUCUUGGAACCACUCUCCUGAGGAUAGGAGAAUCUGCUUUCCAAGCUGCAACGGUGGAAGAGUGGUUUAGAAUGCAAAUGCUGGUGUGGGAUUGUGAAGAUGCCACCAGCCUCCUGGCAGCGAGGACUCUGAACAUCAGUAUGAGGAAUGCUGCUAGUACAUAAUACAGUACAACAGAGAAGGAUGUGGUUGGGGUCCUGGUGAUAUACUGGAUCACCUAUUAACAUUCCUUUGCUCAUUUUGAUGGUACAUAGACAAACACAGCAGUCAUCCUAAGAAGGGUGUGGACAUCAGCGUCAGGAGUGAAGGUCUGGGUUAUGCCAACAGUGUGGAUCCUGAAGCCAUUUCUUCACACUAAUCUCCAGCCCACAGCAUUUUCCCUGGGAAACCUAUCUCAACUGGAAUAUUAUUGGCAUACCUGAUGAAAUCUGCCCUUCUAACCCCCUCGGAGAAUUAUUAACUGCACUCCCCAGAGCCUCAGCGACAGCAUUUGCCUCCAGGGCCCAAGACAACAGCAAGGCUGGUGAUCAGAACCUGCUCUUCCUAUGUCCUCAUAACAACCCACUGAGACAGAGACAGACGUGCCCAUUUCACACAUGAUACAGAGUGGAGCUGUCUUCCUGGUCACACAGGGGCUCGGGACCGUGCCAGCUGACUCAGUCCACCUGGGUCCUCUUUGCAAGUCUGGGCUGCUGUCACUGCCCUUUAGUGCUUUAAGUAUCUGCUUUCUAUUCUCAGCUAUUUUCUUUUUGUGGUAUUUCAUACUUCCUUUUUCACGCCUCAGUGGUUUUAAGGGGUUUUUUUUCCCCCUAAGCCAGAAAUCUCAUUUAUUAACUAGCUUGAAAGAAAUAUUCUAAUUGAGUUAACUGAAAAUUAAUGCAUUUCCUCUAGCUUUAACAAGUCAGUUUUACAAAACGGUAUACUUUCAACUGCCUUCCUUUAAAAUUAGAAGUCUCUAAGCUGCUAAGGAGAGAAGCCUUUGGCGGACAACCGUGGAUCACCAAGUAGCCCAGCCAGGAACCCUGAAGCUGGCACCUUCUAGUCAUUCUUCAUCUCCAGGAGAUGGGACAAAACCGGAGCCUUAGCCUUCUUCACUUUUUUCAUGUAACCAAGGGUUCAACCCCUGACCUAAAACUUCAAAGGAAAAGAGAUUUGUGCAGUUACAUUUCCACUUAUUUUCUACUUUGUUCCUUUUUGUUUGAAUCCCUUUCUUAUACACAUAUCCCUUACCCAAAAUGUUUGGGACCAGAAGUAUUUCUGACUUCAGAUUCUUUCAGAAAUUGAGAAAUGUGCAUAGACUCUUUUUUCUGAAGCAUUAGCAUUCUCUAUUCUCCAAAUAUAAAAUGCUCCAAAAUCUUAUCUUUUUGGAUUAAGGAUGCUUGAUCAGUAUCUCUCCUUGACCAAUGAUGACUCUCUUUGAUCGAGUACUUUUUGAUCUAUUUAGAAACUGUCAGGAAUGUAGGGGAAAAAAUGAAGGAUCAGGAAAUAUAAAUUCUAAAGACCUAAGCCGAGUUGUUUCUUCAGGUCAUUAAUCAUUCUUUAGGGAAAUGGAAUGAUGGCUUCAAAAAUUAAUAACAGGUUCUGGCUUGGAGGCAAACCAGAAACCAUAUGUUUAUACAAUCUUGAUCUUCCCUCCCCACCCCCACCCCCACACCUACACCUGUAAGGAAAUAAGAUAUAAGGAGUAAAGACACAUAAGAGAGACGUCGGGCUCCGAAGGCAGCGAGCACAACCUGUCCCGCUGGCCUCCUGCAGAAGGAACUGGAUGCUGGCUCACCUGAGUCCUUCAUGGGGCAGAGGGCACACUGCAUGCCCCAGGCCUCUCCGUACAAACAGCAGCACUCGGUGUAUGUUGUCUGCUUGCCCACAAGAGGACGGCUGCACACAUACUCAUCACUCAGAUGUUCCCAGCACAGAUCUUGGUACACAUCGGUUUCUUCUAUUUGUUCUAAAGGAAAGACAUGGUUCCGUGACAAUCACACUGCUAUUCCUAUUUCAACACAGUGGUAGAAGCUAGUGAGUCUCACAGUUUCCAUCCCUAUUUCUAAGAGCGACUUCCAAGGAAAAGUCUGAAUGCAGCCUGGUCUUUCCAUAGAUAAAACUGAGUAUGUCAUUCCAGCUGAUGAAAUUCAACCUCCCCAUCAUGUUCCUUCCAACCGGACCUCUUCCUCCACAGCUUCCUAUCAUGACACAAUGAGGCUGCACUAUCUUUCUUGUGAAUUCUUAUCUUCACUUUUCACCCUUAUUUCUCUGUCAGCUCCUACCACUGCUUUCUAUAUAACAUUUUUUGGAUGCAUCCUUUAUUUCAUCUACCAAAGCCCAAGAUUAGUGACACUUCAUUCAAGAGCCCUCAAUUCUAUUCUAACCUUUCCACAUUUCAAUGGACUUCACCCAGAGUAAUCUCCUCAGUGUGAUUCUGUGCCAGUUGUUAAUGCCAUGCCAGGGCAUCGAGAUGAACAGGGAUCCAUCAGUGGAUUCAGGGCUCUACUAUCUUGCUGAGCUGCACCCCGUGCUCCAUCCAGCCUCACCAAUGUCCCGCACACUAGUCAAGGACUAGUGAUUCUCCUUCUUUGAACCUGCGCCUUCCUCAGCUGCCCCUGAAGGUCAAGUGUGAUGAACCCUCAGGCACAGAGCAGCUCUGCUACUUGCUCUAUACCACUCUGCAUGCACCCUGUUGUCCCUUUCAUGAGUACGUUUCAGGAUAUUAAAUCUCCUACAUCUUAAUCAUAUGCAUCUUACUAUUUCUCUUCGUAUCUCAUCUAUUUCAAAAUACCCAAGGAACUCUUUUUUUCCUAUUGUUCAAGCGUUCACAUUUCAGUCAACAGGAA
ensembl:lncRNA